UGGGGAAUUUUGGACAAUGGGCGAAAGCCUGAUCCAGCAAUGCCGCGUGUGUGAAGAAGGCCUUCGGGUUGUAAAGCACUUUUGUCCGGAAAGAAAUGGCUCUGGUUAAUACCUGGGGUCGAUGACGGUACCGGAAGAAUAAGGACCGGCUAACUACGUGCCAGCAGCCGCGGUAAUACGUAGGGUCCAAGCGUUAAUCGGAAUUACUGGGCGUAAAGCGUGCGCAGGCGGUUGUGCAAGACCGAUGUGAAAUCCCCGAGCUUAACUUGGGAAUUGCAUUGGUGACUGCACGGCUAGAGUGUGUCAGAGGGAGGUAGAAUUCCACGUGUAGCAGUGAAAUGCGUAGAGAUGUGGAGGAAUACCGAUGGCGAAGGCAGCCCCCUGGGAUAACACUGACGCUCAUGCACGAAAGCGUGGGGAGCAAACAGG
rnacentral:rRNA from 1 species